UCUUGCUGUUGUUUUCUUUUUUGAUGUUCUUUUAGUUCAUAUCAUCCUCUUGUUGAUGUUCAUUGGUCUGGGUGAGCCGCUUUCCUCCCAGAAGAGACCCACCCAUAAUUUUGGUGAUGUUAGUUUGGGGCCGAAUGGUGAAUGAUGUUUCUUUGUAUGUUACUUUUCUUGAUGUUGUUCUGUUAUUGCUGUUACUUUUCUUUUGCGAUGUUUUUUUUGCUUUUUUUCCCCUAUUUUUUGGUGUUCUUUUCUAUAUCAUCCUUCUUUGAUGUUCUUUGGUCUGGAUGAGCCUCUUUCUCCCCAGAAAAGACCCACCCAUAAUUUUGAUGUUAGUUUGGGGCCGAAUGGUGGAUGAUGUUUCUCUGUAUGUUACUUUUCUUGACGUUGUUCUGUUAUUGUUGUUACUUUUCUUUUGCGGUUUUUUUAUCUUUUUCCCAUUUUUUGGUGUUCUUUUCUAUAUCAUCCCUUUUUGAUGUUCUUUGGUCUGGAUGAGCCUCUUUCUCCCCAGAAAAGACUUACCCAUAAUUUUGGAGAUGUUAGGGCCUGAAGGUGGAUGAUCUGUGUUUUUUAUUUUAUUUUCUUGAUGUUUUGUUACUAUAUUUUCCUUUUUCUGGUGUUCCUUUUUAUUUUCCUUUUCUUUGGUGUUCCCAUCACGUGGAUUGUCUACGACAUCUAACGAGCACCACAAGCCCCGGUUUAUUGUUCGGAGUUUGCUCUCCUAGGCAGACUGCCUACCACGGCUGACGAGCUCCACCUGCCCGGGUUUAUUGUUCGGAGUUUGCUCUCCUAGGCAGACUGCCUACCACGGCUGACGAGCUCCACCUGCCCGGGUUUAUUGUUCGGAGUUUGCUCUCCUAGGCAGAUUGCCUACCACGGCUGACGAGCUCCACCUGCCCGGGUUUUAUGUAUGGAGUUUGCUCUCCUAGGUGUAUUACCUAUGACGGCUCACGAGCCCAACCUGCCCGGGUUUAUUGUUCGGAGUUUGCUCUCCUAGGUGUAUUACCUAUGACGGCUCACGAGCCCAACCUGCCCGGGUUUAUUGUUCGGAGUUUGCUCUCCUAGGUGAACUGCUUUCGCUAACGACCUCCACCUGCCCGGGUUUGUAAUCGGAGUUUGCUCUCCUAGAUGAACUGCUUUCGCUAACGACCUCCACCUGCCCGGGUUUAUUGUUCGGAGUUUGCUCUCCUAGGUGUAUUACCUAUGACGGCUCACGAGCCCAACCUGCCCGGGUUUAUUGUUCGGAGUUUGCUCUCCU